rnacentral:pre_miRNA from 2 species
AGUGAAAUUGCUGGAUCAUAUGGUAGUUCUUAAUUCUUUGAGGAACCAUCAUACUGUUUUCUAUAAUGGCUACACCAUUUUACAUUUCCACCAGCAGU